rnacentral:rRNA from 1 species
UCAGGCCUAACACAUGCAAGUCGAACGAAGUAGCAAUACUUAGUGGCAGACGGGUGAGUAACAUGUAGGUAUCUGCCCUUUGGCCUGGAAUAACACGAGGAAACUUGUGCUAAUACCGGAUAAGUCUUUACAGAGAAAGCUUUAUGCACCAUUGGAUGAGCCUGCACUUGAUUAGUUUGUUGGUGGGGUAAUGGCCUACCAAGACUGUGAUCAAUAGCUGAUUUGAGAGGAUGAUCAGCCACAUUGGGACUGAGACACGGCCCAAACUCCUACGGGAGGCAGCAGUGGGGAAUCUUGCACAAUGGAGGAAACUCUGAUGCAGCGAUGCCGCGUGAGUGAAGAAGGCCCUUGGGUUGUAAAGCUCUUUCGUCGGGGAAGAAAAUGACUGUACCCGAAUAAGAAGGUCCGGCUAACUUCGUGCCAGCAGCCGCGGUAAUACGAAGGGACCUAGCGUAGUUCGGAAUUACUGGGCUUAAAGAGUUCGUAGGUGGUUAAAAAAGUUGGUGGUGAAAUCCCAGAGCUUAACUCUGGAACUGCCAUCAAAACUUUUUAGCUAGAGUAUGAUAGAGGAAAGCAGAAUUUCUAGUGUAGAGGUGAAAUUCGUAGAUAUUAGAAAGAAUACCAAUUGCGAAGGCAGCUUUCUGGAUCAUUACUGACACUGAGGAACGAAAGCAUGGGUAGCGAAGAGGAUUAGAUACCC